GCUGACCUCUGCCACUGCUGGUGUGAACCCAGCCUGGUGGUUUUUUUUUCAUAGCUAAGUUAGUACCUCUGCCAUCUUUUCCCUUUUAUCAAAUCUUACUCAAUUUUAUAUCAAGUUUCUGAUUUGUAAGCAAAAUCCAAAUAUAGGAAUAAUUAAAAGAAUGGUCUCUUGUAAAUCUGAAGAGAGUGUAUCAAGACAUAAUGAAGCACAAGUGUUUCCUGGGACUUGCUUGACCAUUAAAAAUUUGCAGUUUAAAUUGCAUAAUACAAUUUUCUGACUGUGUUUGGUAGCAGUUAUUUGUAAGUAGGCAGAUGAGCUGCCGUUGCAACACUUGGCUUUUUCCAGACCCAUUGACCUGAAUGAAAAAGACAGUGCAAACUUUAGUUUAUUGUUUGUUUUCUGAGAUUUGAAAGGGGCUUCAGUUUAUAUUCUAAAGCAUGUAAUUUCUUUUUUCAGUCUCAUGUACCAGCUCCUUGUCAUCCUUCGUUCUCCCUCGUCUGACAUCAGUUUCUCUCUUGUCCAUUUAAAACUGAAACUUGAAAAACUACAUUUUAUACUUUAUAUUAUUCUUCUACCCCGGAGCUGUUUUUAGUGUCUUUAUUGCAAGUAGACAGAUGGUGAUAUUUGGUUUCCUGUCAGUUUUAAUGAAUAUAGAUAGGAGUGAUAAGAACAUUUGCUUCGUUUAGCAAACUUCCUUUUCUGGCUUUUAAUUAAUGAAGUGCUCACUGGUGUGCCGCUGCCUUUGUAUGUGCUACAGGAAAAUCUUUUAUACAACUCAACUCGUAGUGUCGGGUAAUGGAAAAAAAAGAGAGGAUGAAAAUAACUUUUUUCUCUCAAGAUCCUUUAAAGUUUAUUUACCCAGGCUUGGAACAUUGCAGACAUCAGCCAUGGAACUGCUCGGACGAGCUGCCGCAGCAGCAUCCUUUGUUGCUGCAUAUUUUGGUGAUAUUUUGUUUUUAUACCAAGAACCCAAAGGAAGUGGUCUGUGUUUGGUGUUCACUUAACCUUGGGUGAGGUUCAACUCAGCUUUGGAGCAAUUUGUUUCUCAUGCAGUUUCUUAAAUAGAAUAUGGUCCGGAGCAGAAAUUUGGUAAAAUUAAAAAAAGAAAAACACCUUGGCUUUUCAGCCUUUUUUUCCCCCUGGAAUUUAUGCUGCCUUGGAGAGAGCUAAAACAUUAAUCUUUAGCAUUGAUUUUUCUUUUUUUUUUUUCCCCCAAAUAGUUUGAUUUCUGUGUUAGCUUAGCACAGGCAUUAUUUUAGAUUCUUGUAAACUGUUUUAGAGUCCAUUAUUUUUAAGAUCUUUCUCCAAUGUUUAACACUAAGAGGUUUUCCUUUCUUUUUGUGUAUAUUGGGGUUUUAGUACUGAGGGAUGAUCAGUCCUUGUAGGCAAAGUUGUUUAAAUAAUUUCUGCUUUGCCAUAACAGUUUGAGUUCUUUAAUGGUAAAAGUAACCCUUUCUGUGUGUGUAAAACAUUGUAGUGGGUAAAGUCUGAAUCCUGGCUGUGGAUUUCAAAUCUCUGCUUUAGCUUUGCAACUCUAACAGUUCAAGAUCUCACUAGAUGGAGAGAAGUGGUGUGAAGGACCAGAAGGUGAUCUUUUGGGAACAUUAUUUUCUGAAGCAUCUGACUUGCAAAUUCGGAAGAAACUGAUUUUAAACCUGUUGUGUCUUAAUAUUCCUAUUUCCUGAGUUAAAAAAUGGACUAGAUUUGUACUUUUUUUUUUGGACUUUUGUUUUGCUGUAGCCUUAUAAGGGUAGGAUUUGGUUCCCUGGUGGCAAAUCUGUUCGGGGGAAAAAAAAACUUGGUUUAUUUUAGCAAAGCUGUUUUAAAAUACUCCAACAAGCCUGGCAGGAGGCAGAAAUAGUUGUUAUUUUAUAUUAUUUCUUAGGUCUUUCUGAAAACGUCACAAAGUGCAAACCCUGUUCCUAUGGAAAACUCUUCUCCCAGUGGAAGAUACUUCCAUUUUAAAUGAGUUUAAACCAAACAAAUUGUUUUCUCUGAUGCAUUUGGUGAAGGCAAAUAAUCAGAGAGAAACAAAAGGAAGAUACAGAAGAGAAGUUGAAGAAGAAAGGAAAGACAGAGGAAAAAAUAGUGGAGAAAAUCAGAACAGAGUUGGCUUUUCUAAAAGGAGUUGUCCAGAAAGGAAAAUGAGCAGCUUCCCUCCUUUUUUUUCCCCCCUGUUUUAGCCCAUCCCAGAUACUGCAGUUCUGAGAUAAGUGGGUCAGGCAAAAGGACAUAAUUAAUAGUGAUUUCACAGUUGCUGUGUGUACAGGAGAGCAUAGUGGGAAGAAUGGAUUCAAGGAAAUGUUGGCAGGCUCUCAGUGGAAAGCUCCCAGCUGAGCCCCAGGUUGCCAUGCCCAUCUUCUGCCAUAAGAUUUUGGGCUGUGCCAGGCAGGUGGGAGCUGGAUCAGAGUGGGAAUGGAGCAGAUGGAUGCUCUACUGGAUGCUCUAGUGGAUGAAGUGCAGCACAUCUUAAGUACUCUGAAUUUAGUGUGGGACAGGAUGCAUUUGUGAGAGCAGCUGGGGAAAGGAUGGAUCAACCCUUUGGAAAGCAUUGUGGGGACACAAAGAGCUAACUACCCUGACCAGGGGGCAUAAUGGGACAUAUUUUUUUUUUCUGUCAGAUACUCUGAGUUUAUUACUAAGGAACAUUUCUUGUUUCCCACAUGCACCUCCAGUUUCUGUUGCCUUGCAGUGCUUUGUUUCCUCUGGUUGGUGAUCGUGCAGCAUCAGUGAGGCUUGUGUGGGAUGUGCUGCACAUGGUCCAAGGACAGCAUUCUGUGCAUUUCUGCUGAGAGAUAAUCUUGGUUUUAACAUCUGGAGAUUAGGAGAGAGCACAUGCAGCAAGUUACAGUUUGAGGGUGCUGCUGCAGAGAAACUUCUUCCAACAGAUGUGGCAGCAUUGCUGUCAUGGAAGGUGGAAGGACAAACCACUUGCGUUGUUCAAAUCUGCUUUCUGCAAAGUUUAAUUUUAUUUGCUUUUCUUUUCCUGAUGGAGCCAAGUUGCUGUGUCCUGGUCAGGGCAUGGUGCCAUGUUUUUGGAUGCUCCUAAAGCCCUGAUGGGUCUCUCCGAAUUCUGGUGCCCCAUUUGCUCUUGGACAGGUGGAACCCCUUGGAUUAAUAUUCCCAACAGUCUCUGCUUGGAUUACACAUGCCCAACAUCACCUGCUUGUGCUGUCACCAGAGCCUGCAAGAAAAGCUUUUCUCUUGUUGAGGAGGAAAUGCCUGAACAGGAGCUUUUGACAUCCCAAUGACACAAUCAACUCAGCCACUUUGGAAAUUUAGUUGGUGGGAGCAGCAUGUCCUGGUUGCUCAUAGAGAUUCUCUUCAUCCAGCUGUGGCCUGUCAGGGCCAGCUGUUGGGAGAUCACUGACCUGCAUCCCUUGCUGGAGAUGAGUUGUUUGUGAGGUUGGACUUUGUGCUUGCAGAAGAAAGGCAAUGUAUGGGAUGGGCUGUCCCUGAUGGAGAGGGGGAGUGCAACACCUUGGGAAGAUGAUCUUAUUUCUUUGCCUCCAGAAAAAUAGUAAAUUCAUGCUUUUAGAUCUGUAAAAGUGCUUGUGGGUACCAACAUAUUGCAGAAUAGUUGGCUGUGUACAUCUCGUGGUUUCAGCUCUUGAAUGCAGAGGAUGAAGCAGAAGCAUCUGAGGGCUUGGGAUUUUAUUUUAGAUCAAGUCUGUUUCAGAUUUUAGGACAUAUAUGGGGGUCUGAACUUUAUGGUUUUGAACCUCUGUCCUUUUCAUGAAAAUAAAAAGACUCUUCUCUCUGUGGUUA